UACGUAGGGUGCGAGCGUUGUCCGGAAUUAUUGGGCGUAAAGGGCUCGUAGGCGGUUUGUCACGUCGGGAGUGAAAACUCGGGCUUAACCCCGAGCCUGCUUCCGAUACGGGCAGACUAGAGGUAUGCAGGGGAGACUGGAAUUCCUGGUGUAGCGGUGAAAUGCGCAGAUAUCAGGAGGAACACCGGUGGCGAAGGCGGGUCUCUGGGCAACUACUGACGCUGAGGAGCGAAAGCGUGGGGAGCGAACAGG
rnacentral:rRNA from 1 species